GCAAAGCUUUCGAUCCGUAAGCCCGGAUCUUCAUCAGUGCUAAUAAUAUGUGACUUGUUUAAUUCACACGCUCUUUUUAUAUACAAAAGUGUCGUGAUCUGUUGGCUCGCGUCAUUUGACAGAUCACGACACUUUUGUAUAUAAAAAGAGCAACAGAUCACGACACUUUUGUAUAUAAAAAGAGCGUGUGAAUUAAACAAGUC